GGCCAGGUAGCUCAGUCGGUAGAGCGCAGCCCUGAAAAGGCUGGCGUCGGCGGUUCGAUUCCGUCCCUGGCCACCA
rnacentral:tRNA from 10 species